ensembl:miRNA sha-mir-1546 sha-mir-1546
CGGCACUCGGAGCUGCAGCCUUGGAAGAAAAUAGGGAUUCUGAGAGGUGGAAGGUAUUUUGUCUCACUUCCAUCCCUGAGAAUCCCUGAUUCCCGCCAAGGCAUCUUCCUUCUGUUCCAGCUUUUAUCGGACAGCCUCCGGUCUCGGCGG